CUCUUUUAAGAGAAUCUCCAUAAUACAUUACCAAAAUCUACAGAAAAUUAAUUUAAAACAAACAAACGAACUUAAAGAGCGAGAGAGAAAUAAAACCAAAAAAAGAAAGGAUUAGGUUCAUUUGGACCAGUCUACCGGGCCACGGUGGAUCAAGGUGGCACCAACCCGUUAUCCUUCCACUGCAAAGAGCGGGAGGUAGGCGUUGCUCUGUGAACCCAGCCUCACGCGGUGCCCUCCCCUUUAGGAGCCACGUGGCCCAGAGCUUUCGCUCAGAUCACAUGGAACAACUCUUUGCUUGGAAUGGGCAGGCUAGUAAAGAGCCACACCAGACCCGACCCGUUAAUUCUGGGCCAAAGUUCCAUCACCUCAAUGCCCUCACUCGAGUUGCAAGCUCUCGUUACUUAGCUCGGCAAUGUUCCUUCGCCUUCCUGCGGUUAUAAAGCGUUCUGUCUAAACUCGGCAUGCCGAUGUGGGACUAUUUCUUCAACACUUGUUGUAGCUCUCUCUUCUUUUGGCAUAAGUGACUUUAAGGUCUAUUUUGAAGCUCAAAUUUUCAUCCAUGACUAAUUAUUUGGUACUUUCCAAUACAGAUUAGGAAGAUAACCUAAUUCUAUCAGUGCAGAAUCACUAAAAACGGCUAAAUCAAGAGUUAGAAGCUUUUUGUUCCAACACCAAAAUGUUAUCAAGACUGCUGCAUUUUUCAAUUCUUCACACAUAGUUCAGUCAGUGUAGCUUUUAUACAAGCCUUGAGACUUCCACUUAGGUCCAACAAAUUUGAUAACACAGGGCAAUCUGUAUCGUUAGCCGCAGAAAAAGGAAGCAAACCCUUUCCAUUAUCUUUGCUCUCUCCCGUAUUUCUCCAAGCUUGGCAAGAAUUUUAGACAGAGGGUCUUGGCCCUCUCCAUCAUCUUUUGGGCAUUGAGGAGUCUUCCCCUACAUUCUAGCCUUCAUCUCUCCGAGACUAAGGGCUAGUUUCAGAUUCCGGUGCCUUACAAAUAAGCUAACCCGGUCCAGUUAAUGAAAGUUUACGAUUGAAUGCAAAGCAAACCAUGCAGAAAAUCCACUCCACAACAGAAUCAUGUGAGUUCACCUCAAACCCGAACACAGAGCAUCUUGCUGCUGUUCAACCAUGUUGUGGUACUUUAUCUCUUCACUCCUCCUAUACUUACUUUCUGUAUCUCUUCAGCAUUUGCUAAUCUCUUGGCUUGUAUAAACUAAUCUCUCAUUCAAGUGCUAAUAUCACUCAUUUCCUCAAGUUUGAGUUGAAAGUCUUCUU
rnacentral:lncRNA from 1 species